GCAAGGGGAGGCGCGGUGGUGCUCUCUCUGGUCGCCAGCGCGGCCACCACAGGGGAGAGGGCCAGGGGAAGCGGCAGCCUACGACUCUGUAGGCGGAUGCAGCGUCUGGCCGGAGGUGACGUGCAGCAGGGAAGGCAACAGCCGGAUCCGCGCGCCGGUGAGGCCUGAUUGCCAUGCGGGGCCGUGGCGGUCAGAUCAGGGCCACGCAUGGGAAUCAGCCUUGCGGCGGCGUUAUGCCGACGCAAAAAGAAGGCACGGAGCGGCGCGCCGGCGUGUCGUGAGCACAACACCGUGCGGGGCGAGCGGCAGGAUCUGCUUGAGGUCUACCGGCGCUGCCGUCGAGGACUCCGGGAACUGCCACCGAGGACGGCCAUCGAGCAUCGAGCUAGAACCGCUACAGAUGGCAGGCUGCCACGGAGGACGAUUGUCAUGGCCGCACCUGCCACUGCCAGUCUCCCGUCUCCUACAAGUGCACGACUCCUGCGACCUGUCCCCAGUGAUCUGAGCAUGAAGCAUGAGAUGUACAGGUCUGUGGAUACACUGUCGAUUUGCUUGCUUGUUGUGUACCGGAGGUGCUCAAUGAAAUAUGUAGAACCUUCCUAUCCCUAGCAAUGUAGAAAUCAUAAAUGGUGGUCCCUGUCAGAAGCAAAGACGCCAUGGUUCAGGCAUUUGUUACCCAAAAAAAAAAAUCCCACAGCCGGAGGAGCAGAGGAGCUACACAUUCAGUGUGUAUGUGAUAUCCUGCCAGAAUUCUAGAGCAUUCAUAUAGGUAGACUGUUUGGGUGAAGAAGAGGGCUUCAGGGCCUCCUAAGCAUGAAGGGAGGACUGCAAUUGAUACUCCCUCCGUUCCUAAAUAUUUGUCUUUCUAGACAUUUCAACAAAUAACUACAUAUGGAGCAAAAUGAGUGAAUCUACACUCUAAAAUAUGUCUACAUACAUCCGUAUGUGAUAGUCCAUUUGAAAUGUCUAGAAAGACAAAUAUUUAGGAAUGGAGGGAGUAGAAACAAGAGAGGGACAUGGUGGUUUUCUUCAACCAUAGCUUGCUUGAAGCAUAUGCACAUCCGGCCAUGACUUGGAUUAAGUAAGCACAUGAAGUUGUGAUGCUAAUACAGACCAAGUCGAGAGCAAUAUCAGUGGGUUGUCAUCCUAGGAAUAUGCAUACAUAAUACAUGUAAUGAUUUUCUGUUUAUCUUAAGCGAUUAAUCCUAGAUUGAAGUGUACUUUAUUAGAGCGGUAUUUGAACCAAACAAAUAUUGAGACA